GUGGGGAAUUUUGGACAAUGGGCGCAAGCCUGAUCCAGCCAUGCCGCGUGCAGGAUGAAGGCCUUCGGGUUGUAAACUGCUUUUGUACGGAACGAAAAGACUCCUUCUAAUAAAGGGGGUCCAUGACGGUACCGUAAGAAUAAGCACCGGCUAACUACGUGCCAGCAGCCGCGGUAAUACGUAGGGUGCAAGCGUUAAUCGGAAUUACUGGGCGUAAAGCGUGCGCAGGCGGUUAUAUAAGACAGAUGUGAAAUCCCCGGGCUCAACCUGGGAACUGCAUUUGUGACUGUAUAGCUAGAGUACGGUAGAGGGGGAUGGAAUUCCGCGUGUAGCAGUGAAAUGCGUAGAUAUGCGGAGGAACACCGAUGGCGAAGGCAAUCCCCUGGACCUGUACUGACGCUCAUGCACGAAAGCGUGGGGAGCAAACAGGAUUAGAAACCCGAGUAGUCC
rnacentral:rRNA from 1 species